AAGGCUAGAGCCAUGUAAUGGUUUUCAUGGUAUCAAUUGAAUGAAAUUAGCUUUGAUGGUAAAAUGCAGGGUAGCGUUUGUCAUAAAAAAGAUGAAAUGGACGCAGGCCAAUAAUGGUUUACGUGUAUUUCUCAUUGAAUACAAUAAAAUCAUUUUCUGUAUCAUGAAUAAAGUGUACUAGCAAAUUAAUCCUAAAUGGGUGAAUUAAAAGUAAAAACUAAUCUUUCAGAUGUACUGAACAAUGAAAUGGAAUGCAAAACAAAAAAAAGAACAUCUGAAAAAUCUAAAUAAAACAAUGUAUGUGCCAUGCAUGGACAAAACAAAACCAUUGUCACCUGCAAAAUGUAUCAAAGGCAAGCUUUCUACAUGUAAUGAAUAACAUAUAUAUAUACCAUAAAUGUAUAAAACAUCCUGAUUUGUUUAUAUAUAAUAAUAGAAACGACAACACACUGUUACUCAAUCAGAACACACCCUUAACUCAGAGGCCUUCUACAUUUGCAAGAGAUGUAGAUAAAUCCUAAAGAUCUACCAUUCAUGUUUGAGCACGAUACUUCCAAUGCUAUCAUAUCAUUAUAUUAGAUGAUGAUAUCUUUGAAAGUUUGUUUAAUCAUUCCCCUUCAUGAUGAUGUAUUGGUAAUUGAUAAAAGAAAAAAAGUGAUAUCUUACUUCUGAGAAUUUUCUUUCAAUUCACAAUUGUUUCACCUUAUUAACAUCCUGCUAAAAUUAAUAUCGAUAUGUAGUUGAUUAGAACUUGACACACAAAAAAAUAAAAGUGGGAUGUAGUUGAUUUAAAUUGUAAAUUUCAUCAAUUGCAUAUAGUUAAUUGCUAUGUCGGUGAUGAAUAUAUGGAAGUAAAAUCAUUACAAAUGCUACAUCAUCAUAAAUAGCAAUGAGUUUCAUCAUUACAACAUUAGAUAAGAUAGUAACAAGAGUUACACAAACACAAAAUCAUGAAUUGUAGACCUUUAUGAUGAAUUCCUACUUCUUAUUCUCCCUCCUUUCCUUUUUUUUUGAAAGCCACAACCACAUGGGUCUUUUAUUGACAACAAUUCUGGAUUUCAGCAAAAUUUGCAUUAGGUAAAAUCCUUCUAAUUAAUGCAAAGAUGAGAUAAAAUAUCAUAAGUACAAUAAUUUACAUUACAAAAAGAAAUCUCUUUACAAUCACAUUUAUAAAUUCAUUUCGAAGUAGAAAAUAUACAACCCAUGCUUUUGAAUAUUUAUUUUUGAUAUGAUUAACAGAAGAACAAAACUCUAUAGACAAAUUUCAAUAUUUUUCUUGCAUAGAAAAAAAGUAUAUUUUAUCAACAUAUUUAUGACAAAAGAAUUCAUCAACUUUUUUUUGUCAUUCAAUUUCUUUUCACACUUUUUAUUCAAUAUUUCUUAUAUAUUUUACUGUUUGUAAUUUGAAAAAAAAUGAAAGUCAAACUACACAUUAUUCAACUUUCAAACUGCACUGGAAAAGUCUUUAAAAUAUAUGAUGAUAUUUCAAAAUGAAAUUAAUAAUUUUCUCCUUUUUUUCUUCAACAGAUACAUUCAGACAACCCUCAGAAUACAACUUGUGGCAGAUUUAUAUUGCUAAUUUUCUGUAAAAUUGUUAUCUCUUUUCAAUUUCAGAAUAAAAUGCAUCGACGAUACUAUCAAAAUUCUACCACUGAUGGUUUUUAUCAUAAUUCUGUUUGAAAACUCCUGCCGAAGAGCAAGAAUAUAUAUAGGUUCUAUUUUAAUUAGUAUUAAUUCCUUGCUUCUCAAGCAUAAUUACAUAGGGCAUGGCAGAGAAGAUGACUAAUAUCUCUUAAAAAUGUACAAAAUAUCUCUGAUUUGUAAAUUCAAAUGAAACAGACACACACACUAAAAUGAACAAGGUAAACACCAAAAUUGCACACUACAUCUUCCACCCACUAUACCCAUUUGCAAAUAUAAAACUCUUUGUGAGAUAAAAACAAUAAAACAUCACAAUUAUUCCAAAAAAAUAGAUGAAAAGAAGCUCAACUUCCUGGUUCACAAUUUUUUUUUUUCUUUCAUAAAUAUCCGUCUUUAGUUUUGUGCUUUCUCAGCUGGUAACAACGUAUUGAUUAUCAACGCCAUUUGAUCCAUUAUCCUCUUAAUCAAAUCACAUGAUUGCAUUAGACAAUUUCAGUAUCUAUAAUGCCACAAUAUCAUGAUAUCCCCCUUCAUAUCAAAUCACACAGUUUCACAUUAUGACUUACCCUCAUCAAGAAAAUACUGAUAGAGAUUGCUUCAAAGGCCACGUUUGUUGUUCUCCAAGCAGAGAAACGGUUUAUUCAGAUUUAAAAAAGAGCUCAAUAUAACAAUUAUUUUCUAAUAAAAGGACAUUUAUAGAAAACUAUUUAUCAUCAUAUGUUCACAGCAAAGCUUUGACAAAGGAUAAAGCUUUGCAAUAAUUAAUUGAGCACAACUUGUGAAUACUUAAAUUCAUCAAAGGAUAAGUUAAAUGUUACUGUCAUGAGUAGGAGUCCCAUUACCAAAUGGGUAGCAUAACACAAAUAUUUGAGAUGCACAAGAAAUAUCCACUGGGUGUUUUAAAGUUUAGUGUUAAAAGUUGGAGUUUGGAUCAAUGUCACUAGGUGUUCGGGUCUCAAUGAUACGGUUGGUAUCAGUCUUGCAGACUCACAGUCAGUGUCGUUCACAACCUUGAUUCACGUUCUUAAACACUGACACCCAACACCAAACUUGAGUCACCCAAGGGAAUCCUGCGGUGCAUUUCAAUCAUUUCAUGUCCUCACUUUCAGGAUUCUGAGAGUCGUUGCAACAAGAUUAUCCUCAUUGAACCUGAAGGGAUUUUAAUCCAUACUCUAUGAUCCCGGGAUAAAGACAUAUUCACAGAGCCCAGUAUUCAAAGGGUUAACACUUCUUGGCACAGCUGAGAUUUUAACCCUACCACACUGGAAUUCUGUAAUUUCCACAGACUUUGCACAGGGACCACACAGUUACAUAAGGUGACUGGUUAACAGCCUUCUGGCCCGAACAGACAUUGAGAAUAUGAUAAUGGAAACAUGAAGAAUCUGGUGCGUGUGACCUAUAAUGCACU